AAUCGCUGUGAUGACUCGGAAAUUCAAGCUCAACAGACCGGAUUGCUGGUCUCUCUACACAGAGAUGUUGCUAGCAUGUCGAUAAUCCCGCUGAACUGAGCGAUU